ACAAUUAGCUGUUGGGACACUAGAUGUCUUAGUAGCGAAGCUAACGCGUGAAAUUGUCCGCCUGGGGAGUACGGUCGCAAGAUUAAAACUCAAAGGAAUUGACGGGGACCCGCACAAGCGGUGGAUGAUGUGGAUUAAUUCGAUGCAACGCGAAGAACCUUACCUGGUCUUGACAUGUACGGAAUCUCUUAGAGAUAGGAGAGUGCCUUCGGGAACCGUAACACAGGUGCUGCAUGGCUGUCGUCAGCUCGUGUCGUGAGAUGUUGGGUUAAGUCCCGCAACGAGCGCAACCCUUGUCAUUAGUUGCCAUCAUUAAGUUGGGCACUCUAAUGAGACUGCCGGUGANANACCGGAGGAAGGUGGGGAUGACGUCAAGUCCUCAUGGCCCUUAUGACCAGGGCUUCACACGUCAUACAAUGGUCGGUACAGAGGGUAGCGAAGCCGCGAGGUGAAGCCAAUCUCAGAAAGCCGAUCGUAGUCCGGAUUGCACUCUGCAACUCGAGUGCAUGAAGUCGGAAUCGCUAGUAAUCGCAGGUCAGCAUACUGCGGUGAAUACGUUCCCGGGUCU
rnacentral:rRNA from 1 species